CCUUCUUUCCCCCUCUUUUUUCUUCUUUCCUUUUCUUCAAGGGCGCGUAGGCGGCGUGUUAAGUCAGCUGUGAAAUCUCCGAGCUUAACUCGGAACGGUCAGCUGAUACUGAUGUGCUAGAGUGCAGAAGGGGCAAUCGGAAUUCUUGGUGUAGCGGUGAAAUGCGUAGAUAUCAAGAGGAACACCUGAGGUGAAGACGGGUUGCUGGGCUGACACUGACGCUGAUGCGCGAAAGCCAGGGGAGCAAACGGGA
rnacentral:rRNA from 1 species